UACGGAGGGGGCUAGCGUUAUUCGGAAUUACUGGGCGUAAAGCGCACGUAGGCGGCUUUGUAAGUAAGAGGUGAAAGCCCGGAGCUCAACUCCGGAACUGCCUUUUAGACUGCAUCGCUUGAAUCCAGGAGAGGUGAGUGGAAUUCCGAGUGUAGAGGUGAAAUUCGUAGAUAUUCGGAAGGAACACCUGUGGCGAAAGCGGCUCACUGGACCAUAACUGACGCUGAGGCACGAAAGCUAGGGGAGCAAACAGG
rnacentral:rRNA from 1 species